CCUACGGGUGGCUGCAGUGGGGAAUAUUGGGCAAUGGGCGCAAGCCUGACCCAGCAACGCCGCGUGAAGGAAGAAGGCUUUCGGGUUGUAAACUUCUUUUAAGAGGGAAGAGCAGAAGACGGUACCUCUUGAAUAAGCCACGGCUAACUACGUGCCAGCAGCCGCGGUAAUACGUAGGUGGCAAGCGUUGUCCGGAUUUACUGGGUGUAAAGGGCGUGCAGCCGGGAAGACAAGUCAGAUGUGAAAUCCCGCGGCUCAACCGCGGAACUGCUUUUGAAACUGUCAAACUAGAGUACGGGAGAGGUAAGAGGAAUUCCUAGUGUAGCGGUGAAAUGCGUAGAUAUUAGGAGGAACACCAGUGGCGAAGGCGUCUUACUGGACCGAAACUGACGUUGAGGCUCGAAAGCGUGGGGAGCAAACAGGAUUAGAUACCCGAGUAGUC
rnacentral:rRNA from 1 species